GUUUUUGUUGCAUUGUUUAGAGGACUUGGACAACAGCCUGCGCAAACUCAACUCACGCUUGUUUGUCAUCAGAGGCCAGCCUACAGAUGUCUUCCCUCGUCUUUUUAAGGAAUGGCAGAUCAACCGUUUAUCUUAUGAAUACGACUCUGAGCCAUUUGGCAAGGAACGGGAUGCUGCCAUCCAAAAACUGGCCUGCGAGGCCGGGGUGGAGGUCAUGGUGCAGGUUUCACACACCCUCUACAAUCUGGUCAAGAUCAUAGAGCUCAAUGAUGGUCACCCUCCUCUUACAUACAAGCGCUUCCAGGCCCUCAUCAACCGUAUGGAUGCUGUGGAGCUCCCUGCAGAGACGAUCACGCUUGAGGUUAUCAGAAAUUGUGCCACACCCAUCAGUGAAGACCAUGAUGACAAGUUUGGGGUUCCCUCUCUAGAAGAACUUGGCUUUGAAACAGAGGGUCUGACCACAGCAAUAUGGCCAGGUGGAGAAACAGAAGCCCUCAUGAGGCUAGAGCGGCAUCUGGAGAGGAAGGCAUGGGUGGCAAACUUUGAGCGUCCACGUAUGAACGCCAACUCCCUGCUGGCCAGUCCCACAGGUCUCAGCCCCUACCUGCGCUUUGGAUGUCUCUCCUGUCGGCUCUUCUACUUCAGACUCACUGACCUGUACAUGAAGGUCAAGAAAAACAACAGCCCACCGCUUUCCUUGUAUGGCCAGCUGUUGUGGAGGGAGUUCUUCUAUACGACUGCCACCAACAACUCCUGCUUUGACAAGAUGGAGGGAAACCCUGUGUGUGUCCAGAUCCCUUGGGACCGGAACCCAGAGGCACUGGCCAAGUGGGCAGAGGGACAAACAGGCUUUCCCUGGAUAGACGCCAUCAUGACCCAGCUGAGGCAGGAGGGGUGGAUCCAUCAUUUGGCGAGGCACGCUGUGGCCUGCUUCCUCACCAGGGGAGACCUCUGGAUCAGCUGGGAAGAAGGCAUGAAGGUGUUUGAAGAGCUGCUUAUAGAUGUGGACUGGAGCGUUAAUGCAGGCAGCUGGAUGUGGCUCUCUUGCAGCUCGUUUUUCCAGCAGUUUUUCCACUGCUACUGCCCCGUGGGAUUCGGACGACGCACGGAUCCCAAUGGAGACUACAUAAGACGUUAUUUGCCCAUAUUGAGGGGCUUUCCAGCCAAAUACAUCUAUGAUCCUUGGAAUGCCCCAGAGGAAGUGCAGAAGGCAGCUAAGUGUAUCAUAGGAGUUCACUACCCCAAGCCCAUGGUGAACCAUGCUGAAGCCAGCCGCGUCAACAUAGAGCGGAUGAAGCAAAUUUACCAGCAGCUUUCCAGCUACAGAGGACUGGGCCUGCUGGCAACAGUACCCGUCCAUAUCAACAAUGGAGGAAAUGGCAAGAGAGUUGACGCAGGGACCAGACAAGGCUCAGCAGGGUCCUGUGAAACCCCGUCCAUACAGGAAGGAAUGACUUCAGCAGGUUGCUGUUGGCCUUUGUGGACUGAAAACUGAAUAUUUGGCUUCUUUACAGACAACAACUGUUGUUCUGCCAAAACAAGCCAGAAUUAUAGAAAAGUAAUCAAAUGCCCUGAGCCAAGUUGCUACUCUGCAAACAACUGCACUGUUGAAUUUAUGAUUUAAAGAGGACAGUUCACACAGAAGCGGCGUCGUGAAGAGGUUCCACUCGAAAGCAGCUCUAAAUCCUGGAGGCACAGCAAAUAGUGUGCAAAGGGUCCCUCAGUCCAUCCUAUCAUCUGGAUAGCAUCCUCUCCUCAGGAUCUGAGGAUCUCAGGAACAGAGGAAGGAAUUGAGAGAAACUGCAGGGUUUAAACGGCAAAAACAAAUCAAUAAAGUCCUCACUUUGUGGUGUUGUGAGGCCACCUGUUGUCUUCCACUACAGUAUGUCACUGUACUAGUGAUACAACCACUAAGCAUUAGUACCCACACUCUUUUUCUCAGUGCCCCACAUCAGUCAGGUCAGGAUCACAUUGGUCAGCUGGAUGUGCUGGAUGUGCAUGCUUCGGCCUCUACACCUGGAUCUGGAAGUGUCAAAAUCUGAAUUCUGACUCACGUCUGAGUAAAAGGGAACUGAUAAAACAGUCAGGAGCCUGUGGAGGAUUUGUCGUGUGCAGCUGACACCCUCACCUACAGUAGUCUGUUUUCUCUAAAACAUGCCCCUAGAUAUUUCACACCAAGAAUAUCACACUGUCAUGAAUGUAAAUAAUGUUUAAAGCUUUUUGAAGAUUUAGAACACAAAAGGUCUGAUGUACAGUAUGAAGGAAUAUUAGAAGCAAAACAGGCCUUACAACAACAACAACAAAAUGUAUAUAUUGUUUUUGAUUUCCACCUUUUUGUAUAUUUGGUCAUGGGGGGUUUUUACAACUCCUUUUUUGUAAAGAAUGUCUUACCAAAACUUUAAAGUUCUUCUGUGAAUGCACGUGCUUUUGUCUCCCAUGUGACUGUAAAUUAUAUUAUUUUUGUACAAGGAAUGACCAAACUGUAUUAAAAAGGUAAUAAAAGACAGUCAUUGUUG